rnacentral:rRNA from 1 species
GACGAACGCUGGCGGCGUGCUUAACACAUGCAAGUCGAACGGAAAGGCCUCUUUCGGGGGGUACUCGAGUGGCGAACGGGUGAGUAACACGUGAGUAACCUGCCCUUGACUUUGGGAUAACUUCAGGAAACUGGGGCUAAUACCGGAUAGGAGCUCCUGCUGCACGGUGGGGGUUGGAAAGUUUCGGCGGUUGGGGAUGGACUCGCGGCUUAUCAGCUUGUUGGUGGGGUAUUGGCUUACCAAGGCUUUGGCGGGUAUCCGGCCUGUGAGGGUGACCGGCCACAAUGGGACUGAGAUACGGCCCAGACUCCUACGGGGAGCAACGGUGGGGAAUAUUGCACAAUGGGUGGAAGCCUGAUGCAGCAACGCCGUGUGCGGGAUGACGGCCUUCGGGUUGUAAACCGCUUUCGCUCAUGACGGAGCUUUGUGUGACGGUAGUGGGUAAAGAAGCACCGGCUAACUACGUG